CACAUAUGCCCAGCAUGAGUUUCAAGCCCCCAGGUCUGGGACUCCAAUCACAGUCAACUAUUUUGGAGGCCAGCACCUUAACCACCGGCGUUUCAUCCUGAGCUGCGCUAAUUGGGUCUGCUCUUCCUUCUCUGGUGUCUUAGAGGCUGAGUAUCCUGUCCUGGAGUUGGCUGCAAUACCAAGACGAACCACACGAAGGCACCAGAGCCACACAGGUGA